AUUGAACGCUGGCGGCAGGCCUAACACAUGCAAGUCGAGCUAGCGGCGGACGGGUGCGUAAUUUCUGUGAAACUUCCUGAUGGCUUGGGAUAACUACUGGACACGGUCGCUAAUACAUCCUACCAUCAGAUGUGCCCAGAUGGGAUUAUCUAGUAGGUGGGGUAAUGGCUAACCUAGGCGACGAUCCCUAGCUGGUCUGAGAGGAUGACCAGCAACACUGGAACUGAGACACGGUCCAGACUCCUACGGGAGGCAGCAGUGGGGAAUAUUGCACAAUGGGCGCAAGCCUGAUGCAGCCAUGCCGCGUGUGUGAAGAAGGCCUUCGGGUUGUAAAGCACUUUCAGCGGGGAGGCGUUAACCGCAGAAGAAGCACCGGCUAACUCCGUGCCAGCAGCCGCGGUAAUUC
rnacentral:rRNA from 1 species